rnacentral:rRNA from 1 species
GAUGAACGCUGGCGGCGUGCCUAAUACAUGCAAGUCGAGCGAACAGAUGAGGAGCUUGCUCCUCUGACGUUAGCGGCGGACGGGUGAGUAACACGUGGAUAACCUACCUAUAAGACUGGGAUAACUUCGGGAAACCGGAGCUAAUACCGGAUAAUAUAUUGAACCGCAUGGUUCAAUAGUGAAAGACGGUUUUGCUGUCACUUAUAGAUGGAUCCGCGCCGCAUUAGCUAGUUGGUAAGGUAACGGCUUACCAAGGCAACGAUGCGUAGCCGACCUGAGAGGGUGAUCGGCCACACUGGAACUGAGACACGGUCCAGACUCCUACGGGAGGCAGCAGUAGGGAAUCUUCCGCAAUGGGCGAAAGCGUGACGGAGCAACGCCGCGUGAGUGAUGAAGGUCUUCGGAUCGUAAAACUCUGUUAUUAGGGAAGAACAAAUGUGUAAGUAACUAUGCACGUCUUGACGGUACCUAAUCAGAAAGCCACGGCUAACUACGUG